rnacentral:sRNA from 1 species
UGAAGGCCAAACCUAAUUCGAAUUUUGU